GUGACAUCUCAGAAUGACUCCCUUGACAGUCCUGUUCCCCUUUCAUCAAUGCACAGGCCCAGAAGAUCCCUCUGUCCUGCAGCACCUGCCAUGAGCAUUGACCUUCUGUGCUGUGCGGCCUUUUCUCUCUUGUGGGCAGGUCCUGCAAAUGCUGAUGUCACUCAGAGCCCAAAAUUCCAGAUCCUGAAGACAGGACAGAGCAUGACACUGCAGUGUGCCCAGGAUAUGAACCAUGACUCCAUGUACUGGUAUCGACAAGACCCAGGUAUGGGGCUGAGGCUGAUUCGUUACUCAGCUACUGAGGAUACCACUGACACAGGAGAAGUCCCCGAUGGCUACAGUGUCUCCAGAUUAAACAAAACGGAUUUCCUGCUCAGGCUGGAGUCGGCUGCUCCCUCCCAGACAUCUGUGUACUUCUGUGCCAGCAGUGAAGCCACAGUGCUGCACGGCCGUCUCCUCUCUGUACAUAAAGGCAGGGAGGCUCUGCCGUCCUCUCUCACCCCAAACUCAGUGAUGCCCUGA